rnacentral:lncRNA from 10 species
GUACUUUUAGGAAAUCAAAUUCAGAAGGAAGCACAUACAAGGAAUAAUAAUAUCUAGCCUUGAGAGAUAAAGAAAGGAUAACAAGUUCCAAAUGUAUUCAUGAACAGCGUGUGCUUGAUAAGAAAGCAAAAGUAACCACGUCGUGCUGGUCUGCAAGUGGGAGCUGGAAGAAUGUUAUAGCUCCUAACAUGGGAAACGUUGACUAGCUGAGUGAAAGAAAGGAUAUCAGUCAAUAAGUGCUCCACGUAUGCACAUGCCAGGAAUAAAGUCUGUGCAAUUUAAUCCCUGUUUCUGAUGGAAUGAGCUGGGCAAGGGCUGAUGAGGACACUGAGGCAUAUACAAAGGUCAAGCAAUCUGCCCAGGUGUUUCAGGGCUGGAAGGCAUCAACUGAGGAUUUAAAAUCAGUAAAUCCGGCUCCAGAGUCUAUGAUCUGAACUCCUCUACAACUUGUAUUUUAAAAUGAAACUGGAAAAAUAAAUACGACUAUCAAAGAAUAACACUAAUGGAAGCAAACCAGCCCUAACCACUAUCUCAAGAUAGGACAGACAGCGUGCUACUAUAUGAGAAGAGAUCAAGGCAGUUGGUGGAACAAAACCAAUCACUAAGAAACAGAAUCCAUUGUGUACAUCAGUUUAAUUAAAGGUGUUUCUGAAAUCAGAGACAGACAUUUUAAUAAAUUUUGUUAGCACAACAUGCUAAAACUGCAAGGGGAAUGUAAAGAUUCACUUUCAAUUGUGGAUUUUUCUUUUCACCAUCCACAAACAGAAAUCCCAGCUGGA